GAUGAACGCUGGCGGCGUGCCUAAUACAUGCAAGUCGAGCGAACAGACGAGGAGCUUGCUCCUCUGGUGUUAGCGGCGGACGGGUGAGUAACACGUGGAUAACCUACCUAUAAGACUGGGAUAACUUCGGGAAACCGGAGCUAAUACCGGAUAACAUGUUGAACCGCAUGGUUCAACAGUGAAAGACGGUUUUGCUGUCACUUAUAGAUGGAUCCGCGCCGCAUUAGCUAGUUGGUAAGGUAACGGCUUACCAAGGCAACGAUGCGUAGCCGACCUGAGAGGGUGAUCGGCCACACUGGAACUGAGACACGGUCCAGACUCCUACGGGAGGCAGCAGUAGGGAAUCUUCCGCAAUGGGCGAAAGCCUGACGGAGCAACGCCGCGUGAGUGAAGAAGGUCUUCGGAUCGUAAAACUCUGUUAUUAGGGAAGAACAAAUGUGUAAGUAACUAUGCACGUCUUGACGGUACCUAAUCAGAAAGCCACGGCUAACUACGUG
rnacentral:rRNA from 1 species